rnacentral:lncRNA from 1 species
GGGACUGUGAACCCUACAAGAUGACAAAGAAUUUAAGCCCAAGUCACCAGCACCUGUGAUCCCCCUCUCCUCAAGCUUUAUGUGUGUAUUGAUGAUGAACAGUGACAUCAGAACAGUGAACAAGUGGCUCUCCCAUUAUUUCCCUUACCUCUGACUGCUGAAAGAUCCAAUUCUCAAAGAGUUAUAGAGCUCUUGCAUAGAGAAAAAGAGCUUCAGAAAGAAAAAAGAAUAAAGCUGACUCCUACUCCAUCUGCCUAGCAGAAAACAGAAGCAGCCUCAGAUGACAACUUGGAUAAUUUUCCAGGUAAAUCCUACUUCAGCUACAAAAAAGACACUAAAUAAGACUCAGAGCAUGAUCAGGUAAGUGCUUGAGUGUCUGAUAUGCUGGUUUUAAAAGUUCAGCUAAGACAUGUAACUAAGUGUGUGAU